UACAGAGGGUGCGAGCGUUAAUCGGAAUUACUGGGCGUAAAGCGCACGUAGGCGGCUUGGCAAGUCGGAUGUGAAAUCCCUCGGCUCAACCAAGGAAGUGCAUCCGAAACUGCCGAGCUUGAGUACUUAAGAGGAUCGCGGAAUUCCCGGUGUAGAGGUGAAAUUCGCAGAUAUCAGGAGGAACACCGGUGGCGAAGGCGGGUCUCUGGGCAGUAACUGACGCUGAGGAGCGAAGCAUGGGAGCGAACAGG
rnacentral:rRNA from 1 species